rnacentral:lncRNA from 1 species
AAAAAAGAAAAGAAAAAACCUAGAGAUGGACAUCUGUGAACCAGAAAGUUGGAUCUGCAUAAAUAGAGAAAAAUUCAUGUUUAUGGAGAAGACAAUUGAAUAUUGUGAAGAUGUCUUUCACUAAAAUGAUCUACAAAUUCAAAGCCAUAUCUGUCAAAAUCCCAGCUGUCAUUUUUAUAGCUGUACACACUGAUACUUAAAGGCAACAAGUUGACAAAUGGACAUGAAUUUCACCUCUGAGAGUUUCAUAAGCUGGUAUUGUCCUGACAUUGCAAAGUGUUUACCACAAAGAUCCUGUACAUCCAUCAUCCAGGGCCAGCGUUUGCCUGAUUCUAAUUCCACUGACAUUGAAAUCUACAGCUCUCUGUGGAAACAAGUAAAAUCUAUCUAAGAGAGAAUUAUGUAAUAGUAGCUGGAGGUACUAUUUAACUCAGGACUUCAAAAAGCACAAGUUUUAUAGCUCACAGAUGUCUUCCUUAAGGACCCGAGAGCCAUCUUUGAAACAUAAGUAUCAAGUCAGAUAGCACACCUAUCUUUCAGUUUACGUGACAAGUGCCUUGGAAAUACGACCUAUUGAAUGUCUACUUUCAUGAGGAUUAUUGAAUACGUUGGAAAGAACUGAAUAUUAUUGCAAAUCUUAGAUUUGAGUUGUUUGCAAUAAAUGCAAAGACUUGGA